GACCACAAGGUCCUUCCGAGGCUGCCAGGCCAAAGCUGCUUUGCAACAAAGAACUUCUUCACUCAGUCUUUCUUUUCAUUACUAUUUGUAUUCCCCUUUGUAGAUAAACUGCAGUCAUACCUCGCAGAGAAGCAAGGCAAGAUUUCCACUAAGGACAGCAAGCACUGACUUUCUUGUUCACUUUAUAGGCUUCAUCAUCCUGGAACCAUCCUGCAAAAAUUUGCACCAGAGAGUAGAUCCAUGUUCUGACUGCGAUCACGGGAAACCUUCCUUUUGCUCCCAUUUGAAGAGUUUUCAGCUGGAAGAGUGCAUAUCAAGUGAAGUGACUCAGAUGUGCAUGCUGUAUUGGAGUAGCAAGGGCCAACAGCAGAGUGCAGGAAAACAGCUCCCAGAAAAGUUGGGCCUGAGAAAGAAAGCAGAGCAGGUCUGGAGAACAUGGCCAGAUCCAAAUGAGCCUACAUAUUCAGGUGAUUCCAAGGGGACAACAGUGCCAAGGCCAGGCCAGCCUGUGGGUGAAGGUGCACUAACGCAGUCUCCUGAGCAGCAUACCUAACGGAAUUUGUUUUGCCACGGAUCAUGUCCCAUGUCUGAGUGCAACAUCUACCUGAAAUUUUUCUCAUGAUAAGGUAUGCAUAACAACAGUAUCCCAUGGAGAUUCACUUGUGGCUGACAAGAUUAAGUGGCACCUGUAGC
rnacentral:lncRNA from 1 species